rnacentral:lncRNA from 1 species
AGGACUUUGGAAGGCUGAGGCAGGCAGAUCACGAAGUCAGGAGAUCGAGACCAACCUGGCCAACAUGGACUUUCUUGGAGUCGUGGUGCCACAUACUUGAAGCAGCUCAAACUUCCAGGCCUUGCAAGGGUCACCUUCAGUACAAAAACAGUUCAUGCAUUUUAUGGUUACAUUUGUCUUGACAGUUAAUGUGAAGUAUAGCAUAGACAGUACUGAUGGGACUGUUUGCAAAUAUGAAUGUUUCUCUUUGAGUAGGCUCAGGCUGCUUGUAUUCGUAGAGAGCUGAAGUGAGGGGCUCUGCAUGCAUCCUCAGCUUGUGCCAUGUUGCAUCCUUUCUUCCAAGCUUCCGAAGGGCCAUGGCUGGAUCUUGUA